rnacentral:rRNA from 1 species
CGCUGGCGGCGUGCUUAACACAUGCAAGUCGAACGGUAAGGCCCUUCGGGGUACACGAGUGGCGAACGGGUGAGUAACACGUGGGUGAUCUGCCCUGCACUUCGGGAUAAGCCUGGGAAACUGGGUCUAAUACCGGAUAGGACCAUGGACUUCACGGUUUGUGGUGGAAAGCUUUUGCGGUGUGGGAUGGGCCCGCGGCCUAUCAGCUUGUUGGUGGGGUAAUGGCCUACCAAGGCGACGACGGGUAGCCGGCCUGAGAGGGUGUCCGGCCACACUGGGACUGAGAUACGGCCCAGACUCCUACGGGAGGCAGCAGUGGGGAAUAUGCACAAUGGGCGCAAGCCUGAUGCAGCGACGCCGCGUGAGGGAUGACGGCCUUCGGGUUGUAAACCUCUUUCAAUAGGGACGAAGCGCAAGUGACGGUACCUAUAGAAGAAGCACCGGCCAACUACGUG